rfam:Oryza glaberrima chromosome 8 Oglab08_unplaced138_18, whole genome shotgun sequence.
GGCUCAGUUGGUUAGAGUGCUGGUCUGUCACGCCAGAAGUCGCGGGUUCGAACCCCGU